rnacentral:rRNA from 1 species
UGGGGAAUAUUGCACAAUGGGGGGAACCCUGAUGCAGCAACGCCGCGUGAGUGAAGAAGUACCUCGGUAUGUAAAGCUCUAUCAGCAGGGAAGAAGAUGACGGUACCUGACCAAGAAGCACCGGCUAAAUACGUGCCAGCAGCCGCGGUAAUACGUAUGGUGCAAGCGUUAUCCGGAUUUACUGGGUGUAAAGGGAGCGCAGGCGGCACGGCAAGUCAGAUGUGAAAGCCCGGGGCUCAACCCCGGGACUGCAUUUGAAACUGCCGCGCUAGAGUGUCGGAGAGGCAAGUGGAAUUCCUAGUGUAGCGGUGAAAUGCGUAGAUAUUAGGAGGAACACCAGUGGCGAAGGCGGCUUACUGGACUGUAACUGACGUUGAGGCUCGAAAGCGUGGGGAGCAAACAGG